rnacentral:lncRNA from 10 species
UGGGAGUCUAUCUGAAAACUAAGCAAGAUCUCAGCAAUGCUCAAGGCCCAGCUCAGACCUCACCUCUUGGCGAAGGCUUCCCCAGCUACUCCAGACUUACUGAAGAUUUACUUCACUGAACACAUAAAACAGUGAGAUGAGAUUCACCUAUUAGAACUGCCAAUAGGACCUGAAUGUUUCACUCUUGACACCCCGAUAAUUGUUAGCACAUAGUGUACACUUAAUUUGAUGAUGUCAUAGCUAUUCCACAUGCAUGGGAAUCAACCAAACUACAUCAAAUGAACUCCCUGAAGGAGGAGGAAGGGCCGGCCAUACCACUGUGUUGCUCAUAAAAAUUAACAGUUUAAAAGUACCUCUUACUACUAAGACUGGGAGGCUAGGAAUAUAUCUUACUUUCUCAGUUACCAAUAAAGUAAAAAUGGGGUGCUGUAACCUGUUCUCUAUAAUGUCUCAAGCCUAGCCUAACCUCUAGAAUUCUCCUAAGAGGCAAUCUCAUGUUGGGGGCUGAGUAUCAAGGGACCCUGUGUGACUGCCACAGAAGAGACGCUGCUUCUGGCUUUCUUCACUUUCUCAUCAGGAUGGCUGCUGUUUGACAGCUCUUGCAUCCUCCCACCUACCCAAGUAGUACGCUAAUAAGCAUUGGCUACUGGCUAUUUCCCCAGAUGGCUUUUAACCUGACUCUAUAGUCUGGACCAAAGUAAACAAAUAAGUGUGGAGAUUCUACUUAUCUUCAGUCUCACCUUGGACCGUGGGAGGAAAUGCCUAGCUAUUCCUACAAGAAGGAAAUAGGUUUGAGUAUUUGAAGUAUGUCAUGCUCAAUGAAGAACUAAAAGCACAUGAAAUGUUUGGCAGAAAAUUAAUAGAGUAGACAACGUGUUUCAGCAACCGUAGUUUCCAUUUUACGAGUCUUCCUUGUGAAUUCUAGUACCUUCUCCCCACCCAGAUUCCUGCCUUUUCCCUACCAAGUUUGUGCUCACCACAUGCAGACCUUCAGGAAUCCUCCGGUGUCCUUUGGCUAACUGACCAGCCAACUCUGUUGUUUAUUUGGAGUUUUCUUUUUGAAUUAUUUCCCCAACUUCCAACCUUUUGGAUCAAACCUCUUUCCCGACCACCCUUUUCCCAACAAAAUUGGUAUUUUACAUUAAAAUAUAGACAAUGCGCAUUACAACUGACCUUUCCUGGGUUUCACUUCCCCAAAGCCUUGCUUUCAGCUAUGAUAUAGAUGACUCCAUCAUCAUAAAUUAACCCUGCAGCAGAAUUCCCAGUAUAACAUGUUUACAUCUCAGUGGAGAGUUCCUGCCCAUUCAUUAAAAAGUAUCUCCUGUUAUUGUGUUGUGAUUGUAAAAACAAAGAUAAAGAGAACACAAGGAGACUUAGAACAUUUUUGACAGUUCAGUCUAGGGGGCUAACCAAUGAAUAAGAUGGGGACUCAGUGAGGGGAUACUAAUUGAGUCUUUAAAGAUGUAUCCAAAUGUUCUGCCACUACCCUGUGGCUUUAGUGACCAGCUAUGUUCUAAACCCAAGUGUAAGAUCCAGAGGUGUCAGCACCACCUUCCUCCUUCUGUGCAGAUACCACCUGUGCCACCUGUAUGUGCUAACUCUCAAAUGUCAGUCAAAUAGGCACCAGGAUCCCACUUACCAAAUGAGUGCGUGCAUGUAGUUAUCUCACAAUAGAGGUGGGAGUUAGGUGGCAUUGGGUGGGAUGAGAUGGGGUGCACUAAGUAGCUAUAAGUAAACAGUGGUUUUAGUGUCUUUGAAAUCAGACCUGGGUGUAAUUUUUGGCUGAACGUCCUAGCAGCUGUAAGCCUUUGGGCGAAUUAAAUUAUUCAACCUUCCUGAACCUCAAUUCUUUAUUUUCUUUCUUUUUGUCCCUUCCCUUCCCUUUCCUCCCCUUCCCCUUCCCUCCCUCUCUGGUCCAUUUCUUGUAAGAGGAGCUCUCAGUACUGAUCAGCUCAUGUAGGUCAAGUAAAAAUGUUAGCCCUUUAUAUUACAAUCAUACUCAAUCUUCAUGACAAUUGUUGAGGCUCAGAAAAUGAUACCCCAAAAUAUGGUACUUUGGCAUACUGAUUGCUUUGAACAAAGAAGGUUGAAAGGCCUCAGAACCAAGGUCUUUCUCUGACUUUCUCCUGCACAGCUUUCCCCACCCCCCACAUUCCUUUCCUAAGUGUAGGGAGGGGCUCUCUCUGAAGUUCUCUCACCAGAAGAAAGUUUAUCCAGAAGGAAUGCAAUGGUCUUUGACCGCUCCCUGAAAUCUACACUAACCAGAGAAGAUUAACUCUGAUGCAGGAGAGAUAAGAAGAAGUCUCUACCUCCAGGGCACCCACAACACACCCAGACAGAGUUUUCACCUGUUCUUCCCAUUAUUCUUCUAAGGGCCAUUACCUUAGAGACUUUAUCUGUAUAAUAAAACAACCUUUGUUUGAAGCGCAGUUCUGUCCCUCACUUUCCUAUAGCUUGUCAUCACCUGCCCCAUAGUGCAGAGGAACUUUGUCCCAGGCUAUCAUCUGUUCUUCCAGGCCACUCAUCUCCUCUAAAAAUUAUUUACUCUUUCUCUAAAAUUGGCAAUGUCCCCCAUUUCCCUCUCCCCUAUGAAAAGGGUAUUUAACCUUCAACUAUCUGGCCUUUCUUUGAGUCUUCCCAUUUUGUGUGGAUCCUGUGCACAUCUGCAUGUUAAUAAAUUUGUACGCCUUCUCUCCUGCUAAUCUAUUUCCAGUUUAUUUCAGCAAACUUAAAAGUCCCUUCAUCCCUACACACCCUAUUAGCCACUUUGUUAAAUUCCUUUACAGAAAUAAAAUAAAGCUCAGAGGGUUUAAGUAACUACUCAAAUUCACACAGAUAGUGAGGACCCUAUACUCUUUCAAGAAUGCUGGGCUACUUCCCACUGUAACAUGCAGUAAUCAUACCUGAAACACCACAUGUAGCUACAAUGAGGAAGACAUUAAACAUUUUCUGUCAAGCAGCUCUGUCAUUGCCUGGAACAUAGCAGGUACCCAAUAGAUGUUACUUCCUUAUCCUUCU